ACACGACUACAUUAGACUACCCUGUAGUCCUAGGCGUAAAUGAUGCGAGUUAAGUGGUGGGGGCAUCUACGAGAUGGCCCUGUGCUGUAGGGUAGCCGUUAAACUCGCUGCCGUGGGAGUACGGUCGCAAGGCUAGAAACUUAAAGGAAUUGGCGGGGAGCACCACAAGAGGUGGAGGCUGCGGUUCAAUUGGACUCAACGCCGGAAAACUCAUCGGGAGCGACAGCAGUAUGAUUGCCAGGUUGAUGACCUUGCUUGACAAGCUG
rnacentral:rRNA from 1 species